rnacentral:rRNA from 1 species
GAUGAACGCUGGCGGCGUGCCUAAUACAUGCAAGUCGAGCGAACGGACCAGAAGCUUGCUUCUCUAAUGUUAGCGGCGGACGGGAGAGUCACACGUGGAUAACCUACCUAUAAGACUGGGAUAACUACGGGAAACCGUAGCUUAUACCGGAUGAUAUUUUGCACCGCAUGGUUCAAAAGUGAAAGACGGUCUUGCUGUCACUAAUAGCUGGAUCCGCGCUGCAUUAGAUAGUUGGUACGGUAAAGGCUUACCAAGGCUACGAUGCAUAGACGACCUGAGAGGGUGAUCGGCCACACUGGAUGGGAGACAGGGCCCAGACUCCUACGGGAGGCAGCAGUAGGGAAUCGUCCGCAAUGGGGGAGAGCCUGACGGAGCAACGCCGCGUGAGUGAUGAAGGUCUUCGGAUCGGAAAGCUCAGUUAUUAGUGAAGAACAUAUGUGUAAGUAACCGUGCAGAUCUUGACGGUACCGGGUCAAAAAGCCACGGCUAACUACGUG